UAGGACUCCUGCCAUUUUGACAGAGCUACAGAUGUGAUCAAGUAGAAAUCCUUCCCCAGGGAGUCAAGCCUGCAAAGAAAUAAAUAACACCGCUCACUGAAUGACUCUCCAUUUGGAUGGGACAAAACAGGAAAAACAGUAAUGUUGCUGUCAUGGAGAUGCUGGUGCAGGAGGCUCA
rnacentral:lncRNA from 1 species